rfam:Triticum aestivum genome assembly, contig: Triticum_aestivum_CS42_TGACv1_scaffold_131107_2BL
AAAGUACUCCCUCCAUCCCAAAAUUCUUGUCUUAGAUUUGUCUAGAUACAGAUGUAUCAAGUCACAUUUUAGUAUUAGAUACAUCCGUAUCUAGACAAAUCUAAGACAAGAAAUUUGGGACAAAGGGAGUAGUUG